GUACUCUCACACUCCCGAUGCUUUUGGAUCGGGAGCGGUGGACUUGGGUGCUGCUGCUUGACUGCGGCUCACCUCAAAUGCGUUUGUGCACCUCCUGGUUGGACAUAGUACGGCGUGAUAAGUGUCUUCGCCGGCACCUCACUUUGAGGGUGGCCGAUCGGGAGCUCUGUGCUUUCCAAUCGUCUUCGGACAACAACUGACA
rnacentral:misc_RNA from 1 species